GGGAUUGCCUCAGUAACGGCGAGUGAAGCGGCAACAGCUCAAAUUUGAAAGCUGGCUCCUUCGGGGCCCGCGUUGUAAUUUGUAGAGGAUGUUUCGGGCGCGGCUCCGGUCUAAGUUCGCUGGAACGCGACGUCAUAGAGGGUGAGAAUCCCGUAUGUGACCGGCAGCCUGUGCCCAUGUGAAACUCCUUCGACGAGUCGAGUUGUUUGGGAAUGCAGCUCAAAAUGGGAGGUGUACUCCUUCUAAAGCUAAAUAUUGGCCAGAGACCGAUAGCGCACAAGUAGAGUGAUCGAAAGAUGAAAAGCACUUUGGAAAGAGAGUUAAACAGUACGUGAAAUUGUUGAAAGGGAAGCGCUUGCAAUCAGACUUGCGCGGCGCCGAUCAGCCUGGGUUCUCCCUGGUGCACUCGGUGCCGCUCAGGCCAGCAUCAGUUCUGGCGGUGGGAUAAAGGCCUAGGGAACGUGAGUCGCUUCGGCGUCUGUUAUAGCCCUAGGUGCAAUGCCGCCUGCUGGGACUGAGGACCGCGCUUCGGCUAGGAUGCUGGCGUAAUGGUUGUAAGCGACCCG
rnacentral:sRNA from 1 species